GCUGAUAUAGCCUAGUGGUUAGGGUGAAGUGCUACGAUCUAAAUUGCUAGGGAUCAAAUCCUGCUCUCGGCA